rnacentral:misc_RNA from 1 species
AUGGCUGCCAAAAGUCAGGAGAUGCACGCGUGGACUUUGGGCUUAAACAGUGUGGAGCUGUUGGAACCCCAGCAGCCAGCAAGUCUGCCUCGCUACAGUGUGGCCUUCCACUACCAAGUGGAGGCCAGGCUGCCUCCCCAGGAGGCUGCUGGGAGAGCUGCAGUGGACACGCCUAGCAGAGCACACACUCAACACGCCUGGGUUCCCUUCUCCGUGCCUGAGUACCUCCACACGGUGCAGCGAGUGGGCAGCAGAAGGUUCCUUCUGGCAGUGUCCCGUGGAGAGGCAGGUGCUAAGGUGUGCCUGGUCGUGGAGUUCAGCAGAGAAGUUGCUAAACUUCUAGAAGUUCAGUUCAGCAGCUGGAAGUUGCAGAACCUGCCCCUGCCAUGGCAUAUUAGUGUGCUAUUGCUGCAUAACAAAUUAAAGGAUACCACCAGCCACCAAGAUGGCCCUGCCAACAGCACCUUAGUCAUCUGUGAGUUCUCCUCCUCCCACACUCCCUGGGUACAGCCUCCAAGUUCUGCCAAGGCUGNNNNNNNNNNNNNNNNNNNNNNNUCGCCCUACCAGCUAGUGCUGCAGCACAGCCGCCUCCGGGGCCGGCAGCAUGGCCCCAACGUGUGCGCUGUGCAGAAGCUCAUUGGGACCAACAAGAAGUACUUCACCAACUGCAAGCAGUGGUACCAGAGGAAGAUCUGUGGCAAAUCAACAGUCAUCAGCUACGAGUGCUGUCCUGGAUAUGAGAAGGUCCCGGGAGAGAAGGGCUGUCCUGCAGCCCUGCCACUCUCUAACCUGUACGAGACCCUGGGAGUUGUCGGUGCGACCACCACUCAGCUGUACACGGACCGCACAGAGAAGCUGAGGCCCGAGAUGGAAGGACCCGGCAGCUUCACCAUCUUCGCCCCCAGCAACGAGGCCUGGUCCUCCUUGCCAGCUGAAGUGCUGGACUCCCUGGUGAGCAACGUCAACAUUGAGCUGCUCAACGCCCUCCGCUAUCACAUGGUGGACAGACGGGUGCUCACGGACGAGCUGAAACACGGCAUGGCCCUCACCUCCAUGUACCAGAAUUCCAACAUCCAGAUCCACCACUAUCCCAACGGGAUCGUGACCGUCAACUGUGCCCGCCUGCUGAAAGCGGACCACCACGCAACCAAUGGCGUGGUGCAUCUCAUUGAUAAGGUCAUCUCCACCGUCACCAACAACAUCCAGCAGAUCAUUGAAAUCGAGGACACCUUCGAGACCCUGCGGGCUGCCGUGGCUGCAUCGGGGCUCAACACCCUGCUCGAAGGUGACGGCCAGUACACGCUCUUGGCCCCGACCAAUGAGGCCUUCGAGAAGAUCCCUGCUGAGACCCUGAACCGGAUCCUGGGGGACCCAGAGGCCCUGAGAGAUCUGCUCAACAACCACAUCCUGAAAUCGGCCAUGUGUGCCGAAGCCAUUGUGGCAGGGUUGUCCUUGGAGACCCUGGAGGGCACCACACUGGAGGUGGGCUGCAGCGGGGACAUGCUCACAAUCAACGGGAAACCCAUCAUCUCCAAUAAAGACGUCCUGGCCACCAACGGGGUGAUCCACUUCAUCGACGAGCUGCUCAUCCCUGACUCAGCCAAGACGCUAUUUGAGUUGGCUGCAGACUCCGAUGUUUCCACAGCCAUUGACCUUUUCCGACAAGCUGGCCUCAGCUCUCAUCUCUCCGGAAAUGAGCGGUUGACCCUCCUGGCCCCCAUGAAUUCUGUCUUCAAAGAUGGAACCCCUCCGAUUAAUGCCCGGACAAAGAAUUUGCUUCUGAACCACAUGAUUAAAGAUCAGCUGGCCUCCAAGUAUCUGUACCACGGACAGACCCUGGACACUCUGGGCGGCAGGAAACUGAGAGUUUUCGUUUAUCGUAAUAGCCUGUGCAUUGAGAACAGCUGCAUCGCAGCCCAUGACAAGAGGGGGAGAUACGGGACCCUGUUCACCAUGGACCGGAUGCUGACCCCUCCAAUGGGGACUGUCAUGGACGUCCUGAAGGGGGACAAUCGUUUCAGCAUGCUGGUGGCCGCCAUCCAGUCUGCAGGGUUGACCGAGACCCUCAACCGGGAAGGAGUCUACACAGUCUUCGCUCCUACCAAUGAAGCCUUCCAAGCCUUGCCCCGUGGAGAACUGAACAAACUCAUGGGCAAUGCCAAGGAGCUUGCCAACAUCCUGAAAUACCAUGUUGGCGAUGAAAUCCUGGUCAGCGGAGGCAUUGGGGCCCUGGUGCGGCUGAAGUCUCUCCAAGGCGACAAGCUGGAAGUCAGCUCAAAAAACAACGUGGUGAGUGUCAAUAAGGAACCUGUUGCUGAGGUGGACAUUAUGGCCACCAAUGGCGUGGUCCACGCCAUCUCCAGUGUCCUGCAGCCUCCAGCCAACAGACCUCAGGAACGAGGCGACGAACUUGCAGACUCUGCACUUGAAAUCUUCAAACAGGCAUCUGCAUUCUCCAGGGCCACGCAGAGCUCUGUGAAACUAGCCCCUGUCUAUCAGCGGUUGUUAGAGAGGAUGAAGCACUAGUGUGAAGGACCGCAGGAGGAAUGCAUUUCAGCAGCUCCCUGCUGCUUUCUCUCGUUUUGCCAAAGAGACUGAAUGUUUUUGAAACCAAAUGAUCACACUUUGAUGCCCAUGGGUCACACCGUAAUGAGAUCUGAGCCUUGGGAGGGUGGGGGCGGGGGGAGGAGGGAGAGAAAUAGACUUUUCAUUUUUGCCCCCUAAACAUGGCGGUUAGCCCACUGCAGUGCAGAGUCCUGGAUGUCACUGCCUGGCGUUGACUUCCAGCAAGGACCUGUUGGAAUCUCCUGCCUGUGCCAUGUACACUGGAAAAGGAAGCCAAAGUUUCUGAAGCUCACAAAACAUGAAUCAGGCCAUCCGGCGUCACGGGGGCGACCUGGCACGGUGUUUGUAAAGCUCUUUCACAGUUGGAGAAAUGGCAUCCUUAUAAGCUAUGAGUUGAAUGGCUCUGCCAAAUGUUUUUCGCGCCUCCAUGUGGCUUGGACCCUUCUGUGUGACCCUGUCCACCUAGAAAAGAGAGGGCUGGUGAGCACGCGGAGCUCAGGAGUCCCCAGGUGUGGCAGAGCCAUGGUGUGUUUGUAAUAAUAAAACCACAGAAAUAUACACGUACGUGGAUGGGAA